UAACACUAACUGGAGGACCGAACCGACUAAUGUUGAAAAAUUAGCGGAUGACUUGUGGCUGGGGGUGAAAGGCCAAUCAAACCGGGAGAUAGCUGGUUCUCCCCGAAAGCUAUUUAGGUAGCGCCUCGUGAAUUCAUCUCCGGGGGUAGAGCACUGUUUCGGCAAGGGGGUCAUCCCGACUUACCAACCCGAUGCAAACUGCGAAUACCGGAGAAUGUUAUCACGGGAGACACACGGCGGGUGCUAACGUCCGUCGUGAAGAGGGAAACAACCCAGACCGCCAGCUAAGGUCCCAAAGUCAUGGUUAAGUGGGAAACGAUGUGGGAAGGCCCAGACAGCCAGGAUGUUGGCUUAGAAGCAGCCAUCAUUUAAAGAAAGCGUAAUAGCUCACUGGUCGAGUCGGCCUGCGCGGAAGAUGUAACGGGGCUAAACCAUGCACCGAAGCUGCGGCAGCGACGCUUAUGCGUUGUUGGGUAGGGGAGCGUUCUGUAAGCCUGUGAAGGUGGCCUGUGAGGGUUGCUGGAGGUAUCAGAAGUGCGAAUGCUGACAUAAGUAACGAUAAAGCGGGUGAAAAGCCCGCUCGCCGGAAGACCAAGGGUUCCUGUCCAACGUUAAUCGGGGCAGGGUGAGUCGACCCCUAAGGCGAGGCCGAAAGGCGUAGUCGAUGGGAAACAGGUUAAUAUUCCUGUACUUGGUGUUACUGCGAAGGGGGGACGGAGAAGGCUAUGUUGGCCGGGCGACGGUUGUCCCGGUU
rnacentral:rRNA from 1 species